rnacentral:rRNA from 1 species
UGAGGAAUAUUGGUCAAUGGGAGCAAUCCUGAACCAGCCAUGCCGCGUGCAGGACGAAGGCUCUAUGAGUUGUAAACUGCUUUUGUAAGAGGGUAACCGCAGGUACGUGUACCUGUCUGAAAGUAUCUUACGAAUAAGGGUCGGCUAACUCCGUGCCAGCAGCCGCGGUAAUACGGAGGACCCGAGCGUUAUCCGGAUUUAUUGGGUUUAAAGGGUGCGUAGGUUGUUUUAUAAGUUAGCGGUGAAAUUCCGGGGCUCAACCCCGGCGCUGCCGUUAAUACUGUAAGACUUGAGAUCAGUUGCAGAUGGCGGAAUGUGUAGUGUAGCGGUGAAAUGCUUAGAUAUUACACAGAACACCGAUUGCGAAGGCAGCUAUCUAAGCUGAAUCUGACACUGAGGCACGAAAGCGUGGGUAGCGAACA